rnacentral:rRNA from 1 species
CCUACGGGAGGCUGCAGUGGGGAAUAUUGCACAAUGGGGGAAACCCUGAUGCAGCGACGCCGCGUGAGUGAAGAAGUAUCUCGGUACGUAAAGCUCUAUCAGCAGGGAAGAAAAUGACGGUACCUGACUAAGAAGCCCCGGCUAACUACGUGCCAGCAGCCGCGGUAAUACGUAGGGGGCAAGCGUUAUCCGGAUUUACUGGGUGUAAAGGGAGCGUAGACGGCAGCACAAGUCUGGAGGGAAAACCCGGGGCUUAACCCCGUAACUGCUUUGGAAACUGUGCGGCUUGAGUGCAGGAGGGGUAAGCGGAAUUCCUAGUGUAGCGGUGAAAUGCGUAGAUAUUAGGCGGAACACCGGUGGCGAAGGCGGCUUACUGGACUUUAACUGACGUUGAGGCUCGAAAGCGUGGGGAGCAAACAGGAUUAGAUACCCUGGUAGUC